rnacentral:rRNA from 1 species
CCCGCUGAACUUAAGCAUAUCAUUAAGCGGAGGAAAAGAAAACAACUGUGAUGCCCUCAGUAACGGCGAGUGAACAGGGCAAAGCCUAUGCUUGAAUCCGUGGUGGAUGGAACCGGAAGCCACGGAAUUGUAGUGCAAAGGGCGGAUUUGCAGGGUUCUGGCAGCCGGAUAAAGCGACUCCCGAAAGAUCCACCAAAGAAGGCGAUCGUCCUGUCCGUCCGGCGCGCCAGGAUUCGCAACGCUUUCCGUCCCUCAGAGUCGUGCAGUUUGAGACUGCUGCACAAAUCCGCAGGUGUAUUCCUGCGAAGGCUAAAUAUUGCACCGAGACCGAUAGCGCACAAGUACCGCAAGGGAAAGAUGAAAAGACCUUUGAAAAAAGAGUGAAAAGUCUCUGACAUCGCUGGGCGACAAGGGUAAGAGGCUUCACGACAAUUCCUGGAGUUCCAGGUAGUCCGCGUCGUCUCGUGCCAUCUGCAGCGGCCUAACAGUUCUUCUCAGGUUCGCCUGGUGGAAGGCUUUGCCUUGCUACGCAGCGUGGAACGGGACGAAGGAGAACCGGGGAAGCGCUCGGCAGUCUGGCAGACCAAGGGAGCACAAAGCAUCAGUUCCCACGCGGAGCUGGUCUUUGUCUCUCUUGAGCCGUUGUACUGCCGAGAAUGCACCGGAAAAACUGCGGACGUUUGCUGACCUCUUAUCACCCGUCUUGAAACACGG